rnacentral:rRNA from 1 species
UACGUAGGUGGCAAGCGUUGUCCGGAUUUACUGGGUGUAAAGGGCGUGUAGCCGGGCUGACAAGUCAGAUGUGAAAUCCGGGGGCUCAACCCCCGAACUGCAUUUGAAACUGUUGGUCUUGAGUAUCGGAGAGGCAGGCGGAAUUCCUAGUGUAGCGGUGAAAUGCGUAGAUAUUAGGAGGAACACCAGUGGCGAAGGCGGCCUGCUGGAUGACAACUGACGGUGAGGCGCAAAAGCGUGGGGAGCAAACAGG